GGUUGGGCAAGAAAAUCAACAAAAAAGACAAGGAGAAACAAGGGCAAAAUGGAAAAUUUUGUAAAUUAAACAUAUAAAACAAGACAAAUUUGAAAAAUCUAGAGAUAUCAUCAUUUUUCUUCAGCAAAAACGCCAUGGGAGGUCUGAAAGCUGCUGGUUUUUCAUACUUUGACAUAUGUGAGUUCAAUUCUUGCCCUUUUCUUUGAUAUUUUUAUGUUUUUGUGACUUUUACAAUUAGGUCCAAGUGUUUAAUUCAUUAAUUUUUGAUUUUAUGAACAAAAUUAAAAGCUAUCAUUGAUAAGUGUUGGCUGUUUAUGAUGAUAUAAAAUGAAUUUGAAGCUUUGAUUUUGUUGUUUGAUGAUUUUAUCAAGUAAUUUCAAUAGAAAUUGAUUUUAGGACCUAAAUUGUGAAAAAGUUGUGAAUUAAGGUUUAGUGUUAAAAUUCUGAUUUUCAAAGGUUGUGUAAUAGUUUAGAAUGAUGGAAUAAAAUGUUAAUUGAGAAAAAUUAGCUUAAUAGACGGGCUAAUUGAGCAAGGACUGAAUUGUAUGAGCUGUGAAAUUUAGAGGAAAAAUGGUAAUAAACAUCUUGAACUAAAACAGUUUUGGACAGCAGCAGUAGGUUGACUUUGAAAAAUCACCAUAAAUUGUAUAAAUUGAAUUAGAGGAUGAAUAAAAUAUGGAAUUAAAGCUUAUUGAGUCUAGUUUCUUAUAGAAGAAACAGUGUAAGCAAUUGAAUUGUAAAUUAUGAGAUAUAAUGAAUUUUGUGAGACAAGGUUAGAACGAAUUCGGGUUCCCCUGUUUUGGCUUUGGAAAAUCACCCAUAAUUGGAUAAAAUUAAUUAGAGGCUCAAAUUUAUAUGCUUAGAAUCCUUAAUGAGUCUAUUUUCAAUUGAAAUCAAUGGGAACAUUAUCUGAGUUCUGUACUAUGAUAUAAUUAAUUUUUAGUGAAGAGAGGUCAGAACCAUAGGAUAGUGAAACAGGGGAAAAUUAAAUGAAUAAACUGUACUAAUUGGAUAAACCAAAAAUUCUAAAAAUUUUAUGGUGGAAUGAUAUGUGAGUCUAGUUUCAGGGAAAAUUUACGGAUCUUAAUUUCGAGCUCUGUAGCUCGAAUUAUAAAUGAUUGAGUGACUAUGACUCGUGUGAACAGCUUGAUGUGAGCAUUAAUAAGUAAAUUGUGAAAUUGUACUUACAAGAAUGUUAUAUACAUUAAGGAUGCGAAAUAGAGAGGAGGAGGAGGAAAACAAAUGAUAUAUGUUUAUAAGAAAACAGUAUGAGAAUGAUACAUAUCAUGACAUGUAUAUAUAUGACUAGUUUCAAUAUGAUGCUUGUUGGGUAUGAAGUUAGAUUGAAAUGUCUAAGGCAAGUAUUUUAUUCCGCGCAUCUGAAAUGUGGUAUUUUAUAAAGAUAUGAUCUAGCUUUAAAUAUAUAUGCUUGAUGAUUAAGCUGAAAAUAUUUUGUAAGAUGAUAAUCAUGGUAUAAAAGUAUAAGUGGUACCAUAAUAGACAAGGUAAAAUGAGUAUGAGAGACACAUGUAUGAUGACAUACAAAUGCUAUGUUUGUAGUUUAAUUGAGAAUGUUUAAUCAUUAAAUGAAUACUAUGUUAUAUGCUUUUGAUUUUGUAUAAGUGUGUAAGAGAUUAAGGUCGACCAAGGCUUGGAAAAUAGCUUAGAUAUUGACCACACAGGCAGAGACACGGCCGUGUGUCUCAGCCGUAUAUGGAACACAACUUUAGGACACGGGCGUGCGAUGUGGCCGUGUGCCCCUAAAUUGAUGAUGAUGUCUUAAACAGAAAGCUCCACGGCCAAGGGACACGGGCGUGUCCCAAGCCACAGAGGCGUGUGGAAUCCACACGGCCUAAUCACACGGGCGUGUGGGUACUGCUCACAAGUAAACUUUUUUAAAAAAAAAUAAUUAAGCGAAAAAUUUUACGAGAAAUCAGUUGAGCUCCAACUUGAUUUUAAUGUUCAUGUUGGGCUUCAAGGGCCUAAAUAAAGGUCGUUAUAUAUAUAUGAUCUCAGAAAGUGAAUAGUAAUGUUUCGAUUAAUCUGUAAAUGUUCUGUAUGUAUUGGUAAUACUCUGUAACCCUGUUUCGGCGAUGGAUACGGGUUAGGGGUAUUACACAUAUUUUUGAUUUUUGGUUGUGUUGUGAGCAUUCGAUCAUGAAUGGAAAUGAAGGAAAUGGUUGUUGUUUCAUGCUCUUUUGACGAAUAAUGGAAUAUAGGUGAAGUUGAGCCAAACAAAUGAGCAUGCAUGUACAUUAGAUGCUAAAGGGAAAAAAUCGGCUAACAUGUUGUGUGUAUUAUGGCCGAAUGUGAACUUGGAUAAUAUUGAGUAAUGUUUGUGCUUUAAAAUGAUGAAGUGGAGAUUAUACUUAAGUAAAAUCAUAGAUAUAUGAUGAUUGAUUGGUGAUAUACAUGUUUAAAAAACAUGCAUGCAAGGUAUGUGUGAAAGAGCAAUUUGGUAAUAAAUCUGCUUGGGACAGCAGCAGUAACGUGACUUUGGAAAAUCACCAUAAAUUGUGGGAGAUGAGUUAGAAGCAUAGUAAAUUAUGUAAUUAAAUCUUAAUGAGUCUAGUUUCUUAUAAAAGAAACCAUGUAAGCAAAAUAAUUUCCGAUAAUGAGAUAUUUGAAGUGAUGUGGGACAGGGUCAGAAUGACUUCUAGAUCCUCUGUUCUGUAUUUAUAAAAUCAUUAUAAAUUGUACAAAAAUGGUCCUAAGAUGAAAUUUAUAUGAUUAGCCUCCUUAAUGAGUCUAGUUUCAAAUGAAAUAAACGAGAAUAUAUUUUGAAUUCUGUACAAUGAGAAAUUUGAUUCGUAGUGAAGAGUGGUCAGAUUAGUCAAACAGUGGAACAGGGGAAAUUUUAAGAAAAAUCUGGUAUUGAUUGGCUAAAUAAAAAAAUUCUGAAAUUUUUAUGGAUGGAAGAUAUAUGAGUCUAUUUUCAGGGAAAAUUAACGGCACUUGGUUUGGAGUUUCGUAGCUCCAGUUAUAAAUGAUUUAGUGACUGUUGCUCAGGAAGACAGCUUGCAGUGAAAUUAUAAUUAUGUGGUAAACAUUGACAAAAAUUUGUUAAUGAGUUGCUUAUUGAUUUCUUAUAAGCUUACUAUGAUCAGUAGGUGUGAAAGUCGAAUGUUUAUAUAUAUUAUAUUUUGAAAGUGAUGCUUGAAUAGUCGAAUAAUGACUAGUUUAAAAUCUUUGAAUUUAAGCUCAAGAGCAUAGAGGGGCAAAUUCGGAUAAGGAAAAAAAGAAAGAAAGUAAUCGAAUAGCCGUUGUAAUCGUUCGGCAACAUUCAAGGUAAGUUCUUAAGUUUUUAAGCUUGAUUCCUUUUCAUAUGCCUAAGAGUUAAAUUAAUAUGGCAAGGAGAAUGUAAAUUUUAUUUAGUUAAUGAGCCGAAUAUGUAAUGAUUUAAGGCUAUAAGCCGAUUAUGACUAUUAUGCUUAAGUUGAAUUGGAUUUGGAAAUUUGAUGAUUGAUGUGAAUCGAACAUAUAAGAAAUGGUUUCAUGUUUACGUUCAACUAUAAGACCUUGUGUUAAAUGGACAAUCAAUUUCGUUCAAUACAUUAAGUUGGUCAGGUAUGCGAUAUGUACUUAUGCAUAUUAAAUCGAUUGGAAUUGAAUCAUGAAUGUGAAUUGAGAAGCAUAGGUAAAAAUGCCUAUGUCAUAUAUGUGAGUAAGGGUAAAACCAUCGUAAAUCAUCGAUAAGGAUGGGCUAUGUGCGGAACCAUCUUAUAAUUGCUAAUUUGAAAGGUUAUGUGCGAAUCAGUGAGCAAUAUGUAUAUAUUAGAUGAAUUGUGACCUUUUGGUUCUACUUGAAUUAAGUUGUGCGAUAAAUAAUUUAUGAAUAUGACUUAUAGUCGAAUGGUCACUAUGGGUUAAGUUUGAAUGGUGAAAUGGAUAUGUGAUAUUUAUGUAUGACCUUUGAACCGAAAUGUAAAUGAUGGUGUUCAUAUGGAGCUUAUAUCCGAAUGUAGCAAAUGACUACUAAUGUGAUAUGUUGAAUGAGAUGUAUUAAUAUAUGAUUAAAUAUGCAUGAUAUUUGAUGUGUAUCCGAGUUAAAUCCCGCAGGCUUCGUGCUGGUAUUAUAUCCGGGAUAAAUCCCGCAAGCCUAGUGCUGGUAUUAUAUUCGGGCCUUCGUGCCUAGCAGGCUUCGUGUCGGUGAUGUGUAUUUGGGCCUUCGUGCCUAGCAGGCUUCGUGCCGGUGAUGUGUAUUCGGGCCUUCGUGCCUAGCAGGCUUCGUGCCGGUGAUGUGUAUUCGGGACUUCGUGCCUAGAAGGCGUAAUGCCGGUGAAAAGAUAUGUUACGUGAAUUCGGUGUUCCUUGUAAGAUAAGGGUUUAGCCGAAUGUUAAAUAUGAAAUGAUAGUGUAUUGUAUCAUGCUUAUAUGGCCUAAUGACAAGUAUAACAUGUUGGUAAAUAUGCAAUGUGCUUUUAUAAUCGAACGAUAAGUUUGAAAUGAAUGUGAGUGAAAUGUUAUGCAUAAGCUAUCAAAUGCUAAGUGUGAAAAUGAGAUGAAAGAAAAGUGUUUGAGAUGUAUAAUUACAUACGUUCGAAUGAUGUUAGUACUUAAUUGAUAUGAAUAUGUUAUAUGGAACUUGUUGUUUUGAUUAUUCGAGCCUUUGAGCUUAGCAGACUAUAAUGUCAGUGAGAUACUAUUCGGGCUUUCGAGCCUAGCAGGCUAUAAUGCCGAUGAAAUGAUAUCGGGCCUCGAGUCUAGCAAGCGUAAUGCCGGUAAAAUGAUAUGUUACGUGAAUUCGGUGUUCCUUGUAAGAUAAGGGUUUAGCCAAAUGUUAAAGAUGAAAUGAUAGUGUAUUGUAUCAUGCUUAUAUGGCCUAAUGGAAAGUAUAAAAUAUUGGUAAAUAUGCAAUGUGCUUUUAUAAUCGAACGAUAAGUUUGAAAUGAAUGUGAG
rnacentral:lncRNA from 1 species